UUAAGGAGCUGCAGUGUCCUGCCAGAAGGAACGUCUCUGCUUGGAAUAGUCCUUAUUGACAUGGCAGCUGUGUGAAGACCGGAACGGAGGUUUAAACUCCGCUCUAAAAAUCAGUUAAUACCCUCAAGUCUGGAGCAAGUGCGCAGAAUUAAAAUGUGUGUGUAGGGGGUGGAGGGUCUGUAAGUACAGCCGCCUGUCUUCAAAGACAAACGGUAACCGCCACGCGCGCACAACUUGUUUAUGGAAAAGGCCAAUGCACUAGUUGCUGGUGGGGUUUCUCGGCGGGAUCGAUAUAAGGCCUCAGCUCAAAAAUUUCUGUGUGGAACCCACUUGUUUCUCUUAUGGCUUGGAGAGAGAUGCACUGGGUCUCCCGGCCCUGCUUUCUCGGAAUUCCUUUGCCUUCAAGAACCACAGCGGGGAUCCUACUCUACCUACAGAUACUUGGAAGGAAAGAGCAUCGAGAGGUGCUUCUUCAAUAAAUUAGCGUCGCCGCUCUAGGGCAGUGAGGAGACUCCCCAAAUCCUGGCUGAAGUGACAACAUUCAUCUUUUUUCUCCGCUUGGUCGGAAACUCCGGGUGCCCUCGACCCUUGGGAUCCCGGGAUCCGACGGCCAGCGCGGCGCCGCGGCGGGAGAAGCCGCCCACCUGCCUCCUGGGGGGACGCUGCUCCCCGCGAGGUCUGAAUAGGCCGAGGGCUCAGGCAGGGAGAUUUGCGGACCCCGAGAAGAGAAACUCAAAACCAGUCCAUUAGUAAAUGAGUUUUGUGUUGUCAAGGUUCUUUCCCAUCCACUUGCUGUUCUGAAAAAUAGAUCACGUUUCGUUAUCUUUAGUGGGAAUCUGCAACGUGACACCGGAUCCGCGCGGCCCCCGCCUCUCUGCCUCCCUCCCUUCCAGGCUCGUUCGGCGGGGCCAAGGGGAGCCGGUCGGCCUCCUCGGCUUGUUCCCGAACAAUGAAGAUUUGUCUGUUCCCCUAAUAUAUUUAUAUAUGUAAGGAGGGAGAGAGUUUUCUCCUGGAAGCGGGAAGCCGCGAGUGGAGCCUCCCGCUUCCUUGGUGAAAAAACCCAGCGCCAGCCCACGACGCCGGGAGACCGCCGCCCCCCGCCCACACCUGGACAAACAGAGCGGGCUUCGAGUCCGGCUUGCUGCUAAAAACCCUGCCGCCCCGCGCGGCUCCUGGAAAUACAGGCUCCGCAUUGUCCCGGGGUCGGGGAAAGGAAAGAGAGAAAGGCUAGUACUGAGAGACAGCGCUGCGAGGGAAGUCAGAUUGGAGGACAGAGCUGGGGUGUGUGCCUGGGGGUUUACCGACCCCUCUGUGUGCAUCCCCCUCCGCGUCUGCUCUCUCUCGGUCUAACUUAUUGUCUCUUUUCGAUCUGGAAGAGGAAACUCGUUUAUUUUGUGUGCCAACCUGGUCUAUCAUUUCUCUUUCAUUCUCUUUCCUCUGCCCCAUCCUCUCUCCCUCUUUCCCUCACUCUCAUUCUCCUGGUCUCUUGUUUCUCUCUGUCUCUGUCUCUCUCUCUCUCUGUGUGUGUCUCUCUCACACAGACACACACACACAGACACACACACACACA